ACGGGGUGAGGUAGUAGGUUGUGUGGUUUCAGGGUAGUGGUUUUGCCCCAUCAGGAGAUAACUAUACAACUUACUGCCUUCCCUGAAG
ensembl:miRNA